AAGUGAAGCACAUAAACUCACACUUUUAAAUACAUACAAUCAUGUUCCAUUCAAAUAUAUCAUAAACAAUUUGAAUUCCCUGCAUACCACACAAUGAAAUGGACUCUUCACUCCCUUCCAUUUCCAUUUGAAAAGCAAACGGAAUAGGCAUCGCGCUUCUCAAUUUUGGUAAAGGAAAUAAAAAUGAAGCAUAUAAAGAUCAACAAGAAGACCGCAAU
rnacentral:misc_RNA from 1 species